AUUGAACGCUGGCGGCAGGCCUAACACAUGCAAGUCGAACGAGUGGCGGACGGGUGUGUAAUGUCUGGGAAACUGCCUGUUGGAGGGGGAUAACUACUGGAAACGGUAGCUAAUCCCGCAUACCAUCGGAUGUGCCCAGAUGGGAUUAGCUAGUAGUGGGGGUAAAGGCUCACCUAGGCGACGAUCCCUAGCUGGUCUGAGAGGAUGACCAGCACAACUGGAACGGAGACACGGUCCCGACUCCUACGGGAGGCAGCAGUGGGGAAUAUUGCACAAGGGGCGAAAGCCUGAUGCAGCCAUGCCGCGUGUAUGAAGAAGGCCUUCGGGUGGUAAAGUACUUUCAGCGGGGAGGCGUUACCCGCAGAAGAAGCACCGGCUAACUCCGUGCCAGCAGCCGCGGUAAUUC
rnacentral:rRNA from 1 species